AGCGAACGCUGGCGGCAGGCCUAACACAUGCAAGUCGAACGAACUCUUCGGAGUUAGUGGCGGACGGGUGAGUAACACGUGGGAACGUGCCUUUUGGUUCGGAAUAACUCAGGGAAACUUGUGCUAAUACCGAAUGUGCCCUUCGGGGGAGAGAUUUAUCGCCAUUAGAGCGGCCCGCGUCUGAUUAGCUAGUUGGUGAGGUAACGGCUCACCAAGGCGACGAUCAGUAGCUGGUCUGAGAGGAUGACCAGCCACACUGGGACUGAGACACGGCCCAGACUCUACGGGAGGGAGGAGUGGGGAAUCUUGCGCAAUGGGCGAAAGCCUGACGCAGCCAUGCCGCGUGAAUGAUGAAGGUCUUAGGAUUGUAAAAUUCUUUCACCGGGGACGAUAAUGACGGUACCCGGAGAAGAAGCCCCGGCUAACUUCGUG
rnacentral:rRNA from 1 species